UCCCGGCAGUCCAAGUUGCAGCCAACUUUAUUGGGUCUAAAACAUCCGUAGCUUGUUUGAUAAGUUCUUUGUGAAAUCUUAUAUCUCAAGUAUAAGGCGGGCAAAGAAUACUAUCAAGCUAGGGACCGGUAGAUGUAAAGAGUACGUUCGAGGUAGUGGUAAAAUAUGUUAAUCUCAGAUGGACUAACGAUGAGCGAAGGCACUUUACAAGGACGGAUCCGACAGUGAGGGAUGAAGGCUAGGGG
rnacentral:rRNA from 1 species